GACGAACGCUGGCGGCGUGCCUAAUACAUGCAAGUAGAACGCUGAAGCGAGGAGCUUGCUCUUCUUGGAUGAGUUGCGAACGGGUGAGUAACGCGUAGGUAACCUGCCUUUUAGCGGGGGAUAACUAUUGGAAACGAUAGCUAAUACCGCAUAACAAUGGAUGACACAUGUCCUUUAUUUUAAAGGGGCAAUUGCUCCACUACAAGAUGGACCUGCGUUGUAUUAGCUAGUAGGUUAGGUAAUGGCUCACCUAGGCGACGAUACAUAGCCGACCUGAGAGGGUGAUCGGCCACACUGGGAAUGAGAAACGGCACAGACUCCUAAGGGAGGCAGCAGUAGGGAAACUUGGGAAAUGGGGGCAAACCUGACCGAGCAACGCCGCGGGAGUGAAGAAGGUUUUCGGAUCGUAAAGCUCCGUUGUAAGUCAAGAGAGGGUGUGAGAGUGGAAAGUUCACACUGUGACGGUAGCUUACCAGAAAGGGACGGCUAACUACGUG
rnacentral:rRNA from 1 species